rnacentral:tRNA from 1 species
GGGCAGUUAGCUCAGUCAGUUGAGGGUGGCGCUAACAACGCCAAGGUCACAGGUUUGAUUCCCGUCCAGUUCC